AAUACAAAAACAUGGACUUCAGCAUUCAAUAAUUACUACAGCCGUGUUUGAGGGUAUUCAAACCGGUUCCCGUAAGCCAAACAAAUUUGAGAUGGAAAAUGAUACAAGGAAAAUAAUGAAGGGAAUGCCAGAAAAAUACCGAAUCAAAUGUUUAGCAGAAAAUCAAGAUCGAAUGGAUGUCGACAACGGACCAAGAAAUGGUCCACCAGCGGGAAUUCAGUAGUUUAUCACUGGAUACGGAAAUGAGAGAGAAUCGGCUCUCUUUUCCUAAUUGAAAUUUAUCCAUAUGGAUGUCUUCUUAAAACAAAAAUUCAACCUGGAGUUCUUAGAAAUUGAAAUUUCCAAAAUCAAGAAAAAUUAAAAUGCAACUUGAAUGAAACUAAAGCUAUUCCACAUCGAGGACAGGAUCAGUUUCGACUUUCAAAUGGUUUUGCCAGUCACUGUUUGAUGGUCUGUUUAAGAGCCCACACCGUCUAUUUCAGUGCAGCCAACAACGUCGAUUACAGUGCAGCCAACACCGUCGAUUGCAGUGCAGCCAACACCGUCGAUUACAGUGCAGCCAACACCACAAGAAUCAUCCAAGGAAAUUCUUUACUGAUACACCUGUUAUCCGGUGGCUAGCGUUUUGAUGUGUAACAUUUGCGUAUCAUGUAUGCGUAUUUGUAGUGUAUGUUUUUGUCAAAUAAAUGAUAAUUUAAAACUGA